rnacentral:rRNA from 1 species
AGCGAACGCUGGCGGAAUGCUUAACACAUGCAAGUCGCACGCCCUGCAAGGGGAGUGGCGGACGGGUGAGUAACGCGUAGGAAUAUGUCCAGAGGUGGGGGACAACCCCGGGAAACUGGGGCUAAUACCGCAUAUGGGCUGAGGCUCAAAGCCGUGAGGCGCCUUUGGAGUAGCCUGCGUCCGAUUAGCUUGUUGGUGGGGUAAUGGCCUACCAAGGCGACGAUCGGUAGCUGGUCUGAGAGGACGAUCAGCCACACUGGGACUGAGACACGGCCCAGACUCCUACGGGAGGCAGCAGUGGGGAAUAUUGGACAAUGGGCGCAAGCCUGAUCCAGCAAUUCCGCGUGGGUGAAGAAGGUCUUCGGAUUGUAAAGCCCUUUCGACAGGGACGAUGAUGACGGUACCUGUAGAAGAAGCCCCGGCUAACUUCGUGCCAGCCGCCGCAGUAAAAC